rnacentral:lncRNA from 1 species
CCAGCACCGCCGCUGCGCGAAGGAGGCAUUUCCGUUUAUGGCUGUUUAGCUCCUUAAACAUUUCAAGUCAUACAGAAAUAACUAGUGUAAAAAAAAAAAAAGGUGGCUGUGUAGGUUCUUUCCCGUGAGGUGCAGGUCAGGCUCUUCAGCCCCUUUAGGACCACCAACGUGCCUGGUCCCCACGACUCGCGGCUGCCUCCUCUCGGGCCGGGGCAGGGAGGAGCCGCUACUGCCGGUUAUCUUCGGACACGUUGUGGGCCAGCCAGUUCACUCGGUUUCCAGCUCUCGCGGAGGGCUUCGUUAAACUUCACUCGGAAGUGCUUCGUUAAACUUCACUCGGAAGUGCUUCGUUAAACUUCACUCGGAAGUGCUUCAGCGCCUCCUCUGUUUUCCCCGGUGCCAGGGAGUCCUUGAGAUACCGGAUGUCUUUGGAGCAGCUGAGCUCAGGCAGGCCUGCUGCCUGCAUCAGGGCAAAGAGGUGGAGGAAGAGAAGCCCGUGGCGCCGCAGGAUGGUGUUAGGCCCUUUCACAGUAGCCCCGGAACCUUUCAAAUUUCUCAUAUUAUUAGUCUUCCCCUGCUCAAUCACAUGGACAAAGUCAUAGGUGAGGAUGAAUGGGACACGCUGACGGUUGAUUCCAAACGUGGUCUUGAAAUUCCCCCAGAAAGUGGCAAAAAUCAAUGUGGAACAGCUGCCCACUCGCUCGGAUCAUGAUGUUGUCGCUGUGCCGAUCACCGAUGCCCAGCACGUACGUGGCCACACAGUAGCCAGCACAGGAGAGGGUGAACUCUUCGUUGCCUCCAUCCAUGUUGCGGUUGUUGAGUUGGAUGUUGGCGAUGGUGUCUGGGUGGAGUAGCACCUCAACGACGCCUGUGUGGUCCCCAGUGGGGAGGCAGCCUUAGGGGGUCAUCCUCAGGUCCAGCCCCUGCUGCUUCCACAGGACGUCCAUGAGCCGGAUCGUCUGCAUGUGUGAAACUACAACUGUGUUUAUAAGGAGGAUGCCACUGGAAAUGAAUUCUGCUCAAAGAAUGAACUCUCUACACACAUCAUCUUUCUCUCACAGACAUCAUACCACCUCAAGCACUGCAGCCUCAAAAGGGGAAAUUCCUGAGUGAUUCUUCUUGAAGCUUAAAUUCUGUGGGAUUUUUAUGGUGGAAAACUUAGGAGAGGAACCAGACAGCCCAUCUAGGAGCUGAUACUCUUCUAGUGAAGACCACCCUUGCAGGAAAGCAUCUGUCCUCCCAGAAUCCGGAUGUUAGGUUUGAGAAUUUACUAAUGUGUGACUUCUCUGAAACAAUUUAUUUAGGAAAAAAGGUUGAAUAAAUAUAUACUCAAUAAAAGUAUUGCAAAAAUUAAAUAAA